GACAGAGGGUGCAAACGUUGUUCGGAAUUACUGGGCGUAAAGCGCGUGUAGGCGGCCCGGAAAGUCGGAUGUGAAAGCCCUGGGCUUAACUCAGGAAGUGCAUUCGAAACUCCCGGGCUUGAGUUCUGGAGAGGAAGGCGGAAUUCUCGGUGUAGAGGUGAAAUUCGUAGAUAUCGAGAGGAACACCGGUGGCGAAGGCGGCCUUCUGGACAGUGACUGACGCUGAGACGCGAAAGCGUGGGGAGCAAACAGG
rnacentral:rRNA from 1 species